rnacentral:rRNA from 1 species
GUACUAGAUGUCGACUAGUCGUUGGGGUCCUCGAGACCUUUGUGGCGCAGUUAACGCACUAAGUCGACCGCCUGGGGAGUACGGCCGCAAGGUUAAAACUCAAAUGAAUUGACGGGGGCCCGCACAAGCGGUGGAGCAUGUGGUUUAAUUCGAUGCAACGCGAAGAACCUUACCUACCCUUGACAUCGAGCGAACUUUCCAGAGAUGGAUUGGUGCCUUCGGGAACGCUCAGACAGGUGCUGCAUGGCUGUCGUCAGCUCGUGUUGUGAAAUGUUGGGUUAAGUCCCGUAACGAGCGCAACCCUUGUCCCUAUUUGCCAGCGAUUCGGUCGGGAACUCUAGGGAGACUGCCGGUGACAAACCGGAGGAAGGUGGGGACGACGUCAAGUCAUCAUGGCGCCUUACGGGUAGGGCUACACACGUGCUACAAUGGCCGGUACAGAGGGUGGCAAUGCCGCGAGGUGGAGCUAAUCUCAAAAAGCCGGUCUCAGUCCGGAUCGGAGUCUGCAACUCGACUCCGUGAAGUCGGAAUCGCUAGUAAUCGUGAAUCAGAAUGUCACGGUGAAUACGUUCCCGGGCCUUGUACACACCGCCCGUCACACCAUGGGAGUGGACUGCACCAGAAGUGGUUAGCCUAACUUCGGAGGGCGAUCACCACGGUGUGGUUCAUGACUGGGGGUGAAGUCGUCCAAGGGGAAACCAACCACCCCCCACCAAAGCGGAAGGCCACAUUACC